rnacentral:rRNA from 1 species
AUGAGGAUCCUCAGCUGGAACUGCCGGGGACUGGGGCAACCCCGGACAGUUCAAGAACUCGCGUGUUUGGUUAGCACGCACCGCCCGGCUAUCGUUUUCCUUUCGGAAACAAGACAGAAUAAAGUUAUGAUGAGUGGCCUUAGAUGGAGGAUAGGGCUGAAGAACUACAUGCUUAAUGAUGGUAGAGGUAAAGGGGCGGGAAUCGCCUUGUACUGGGAUGAAACAAUUGAAAUAAAAAAGUUGUUUGUUGGCCCUCGCUAUAUCGAUGUGCUUGUUCGAAACAACCCAAAUGAGCAAUGGUGGAGAGGUACGUUUGUUUAUGGUGAGCCAAAAGCACACGAGAGGAUUCAUAUGUGGAACCUUCUCAAACGAAUUAAACAUAUCUCCAGUGCACCGUGGCUUGUAAUCAGAGACUUCAAUGAAACUUUGUGGCAAAGUGAGCAUUUUUCGGCAUCUAAAAGGUCAGAAAGGCAAAUGGCUGACUUCAAAGAAGUUCUUGAUUGGUGCGACCUAUAUGACCUACGUUUUCGUGGACCAGUGUGGACAUACGACAACAAACAGUCGGGUCGGAACAACGUUUAA